AGCUGCUAUUGGCCAACCGAAUGGGAGAGACCCGACGUUCUGUCAACUCAGCCUAUCGCAAGAGGCCUAGGAAUCGCUUGUGCGGAGGAGAGCGGCUAUGGGGAAAGGAUGCUCUUUUUGACUGGGUUAUCUCCUGGGUCGCUUUCCUUAACCCAAAGAACAAUAUAUUAAAAUGGGGCAAGAAAUGAACAAAUAGCGCCAAGAAGCAUGAAAACUAAAGACUCUGAAUAAUAAGAUUUUAUCAUUCCCGCUCCAAUAUGUCCAAUGUUCAUGCAAUAGUGAGAUCUAUAUAUAUAUAUAUGUAUCUGUAUAGAGAUAAGAACCCAGGAGCCAGGAAGUUGCGUGUGCAAAAGGAAAGCGAGCCGUCCCUAUACCGGACAUAACUUCAUACAGCAGCUCAGACUGAAGCCGCUACUGCAAAGAUGGCCUUGGACCAGAUGGUGCCUGGAUGGAUUUGAUGUAACCUACAAGGAGUGUUUCCAGCCCAGAAGACUUGGAUACAUCAUUGUCCAUUGAUUCCCUGUGAUGUAUACGUUGUGUAAAACCUGAAUAACAAUGUAAGAAGAAAUGAGCCAAUGGCUGUUGUGUUGACAUGUGACAGGAAGCAGCGGCUCGCCUGCCCGCACAUUAUCAGCAGCUUUGCUUCCAACAUGUCAUGCUCCAGUUGAUCUUUUUUUUUUUUUUUCUUCCUCCUUUUGGUUCAUCUUCCCAUUUCUGAAAGUUAACUUUUUGCCUCCCGAAUUAAUUCAAGCGUUUAGUGCUCCUGGUUUGCCUUUUUUUCUUUGCAAGGCUGCAUUUCCUCUCCCCGAAUGCAUGAUCAGAAAUGCUCAGGGAGCAGAAAGCACAUUGAUUUCUGCUUGUUCUGUCCACAGACAGGCCCUGACAAGGUUGUUAGAACAGUUGGAGAGGUCUCUACAAUCACUUAAUUACCAAAGCUGUCAGUCAGCAGGGACACGGCCGGCUACAACCAUGGCUGCAAGGAGCAUUCCACUACUGGGCAUUUUCUUGAUUGAUCUGUGCUGAUGGCAUUGCAAAAUAAUUAUAGUGAAUUUUCUGAUGUGUGAUUUUAUACCAAGUUCAUGCUUGAGAAAGGUAAUCGUAAGGAUGAGAAGGGUCAAUGCCAUUUCCUAUUACCUGAAGUCCUAGGGAAAGGGGAACAUCUAGAGGAGGCUGCAAGAACAGAGAUGGAGUAAGAAGAGAGAGAUUAAGGAUUGCUGAAGGGUAGUGCAAGCAAUUCGUCAAACCGUGCAAGUGAUUUCCUUCCGAGCCAACAAAUGGCAGAUUGAUUUUGUCCAAAGUAGGUUUAGCCACAUUAACAAUGAUCCAGCGGUUAUUAUUGAGAUUGGCUUGGGAAGUGACAGGCAGUUGGAGGAAAAGGAGGAGAGAUCCUGUUUAUAGCAGCAGUGAUUUUAACUGCUGUCAGAUGCAUUUAGGGAGGCAGCACUGUUGGCAAUUGAAUAAAUAUGUUUUUUCUUUCA